UACGUAGGGGGCAAGCGUUGUCCGGAUUUAUUGGGCGUAAAGCGCUCGCAGGUGGUCCGUUGCGUCGUGCGUGAAAGACCCCGGCUCAACUGGGGAGUGUCGUGCGAUACGGGCGGACUGGAGGCCAGUAGGGGAGACUGGAAUUCCUGGUGUAGCGGUGGAAUGCGCAGAUAUCAGGAGGAACACCGGUGGCGAAGGCGGGUCUCUGGGCAGUAACUGACGCUGAGGAGCGAAAGCGUGGGGAGCGAACAGG
rnacentral:rRNA from 1 species